GUUGGAACUCAAAGGCACAAGGCAGCAGGGAGCGAAUCCAGGAGUCCUGCCCAUAGGUCAGCCAACCAAAGAGAGAACCAGACAGGAACAAAGGAGCAGGCUGUUACUGCUGUAUUCAGAGCUGAGUGUGCCGGACAAACAGCUGCAGUCAGUCCAGCCUGCAGAAACUCCAAACCUACCUCCAUUCCCUUAGGGGCUCCUGGUCCAGUCGCUCCCCCAUCCCUGUUCUAGGCAAAACAACAAACAGGGGUUUGUUUUGCAGCUGGAGAGGAAGUUCACAUUUCCAAGACGGCAGCCUGAGUCUGAACACAGACAUGCUUGCUCAACUCGUGUGGGCUGAAGCGCCAAACGGGAACAACGACAGAGAAGAAACACGGUGGCGGAGCAGACUCACGCCCAGGUGCCAGUGACUCCUGUUCUCGGGGCAGAACAGGAAAAGGAGCAAUUUGCUCUGGCAAGGCCAGGGGACAGAGUGUUAAAUAUAAACAGCUGCCUGCUUUGCAAUGGUCUGGCCUGGAAGGCUCCAUGGGGAUUAACUGCAUUAUUCAACACUGCUUUAAAGAGACACGAACCGUAAAGCAGCUGCUCAAACACCUUAUCACGUAAUGUCAUCAAGAAGACACCCUCCUCUCUGUCUGCACUGGGGCGACGGGAGGAACAGGGCUGCAGAACGCUGCUCCCGGGAUCCAUAUUUAGGUCCUAACAUUUUUAAAGUCCUCUCUCCAAAACCCAUUAGUUACUUCAAAGGACUCGGCUUUGAUCUUCAAGAGAAAAAAGGCAGCACGUUGAGUUGAACCAGAAGAUAGCGUCUCCAUAGGAGGACAGAGACAGUGAUAAUGGGUUUUCCACAGCACAGCGGCCAGUGCUGGAGGAGGACGAGGCUCCCUCUCUCUGCGCUGCCUCAAGAACCGAACUGGACCAGAGGGCUCCCCUCAGUGACACGAGGGACUUGCUCACAACUAUAUCUGGGUAACUUUUUGGCUGAACCGGGUGCUUUGCAAUUCCAUUCAGCCUUUGUCCUUCUGCAAGGGAUUCCUGCGCUGCCUUAGACUUUUCUUGGGCCAUCAGUGUAUGCAUAGGUCUUACAUAGGGUCUCUAGAUGCGGUAAGGAACCAAUGUUACCAGGACUUUCACAGCGAAGAUUACGCACAUGAACACAUAUGUACACACACCACCUGUGGACAGGCAGAUGAUAAAUAAGACUUGGGUUGGACAGAUAUCUGGGUUGGUAAGGUCCUGAGUUAGGGUCCCUAGCCCCCACGUAAAAAGCCAGGAGCAGCAACUGUGAUCCCAGUGUCUGUGAUCCCAGUGCUGGGGAGGUAGAGGCAGGAGGAUGCCCAGAACUCACCUGCUUUACCAAAUUGUUUGUAAGACUGUGUCUAAAAAUAUUAAUAAAAUGGAGAGUGACUCAUGAAGACAAAUAAUAUUGGCCUCAGACACAUGCAAGUGCACGCACACACACACAGCAAAAAGGGUUUGGGAACUGGUGGGUAAGCAUCCUGCUUUUCUUCUGUCAGAACUGGCACAAAGCUAAAGUAUGAUCCAACCUUUGGACAUUGCUACAUAGUAUUGUCAUCUAUGAAGCUCAUAGAUCGUGUAACAAGAGUUACACAAUUAGACAACGCUUUAAGUUUACCCUUUCGUCAUAGACCGCAUUCAUUGCCGUCCUUGGCCGCAUGUGCCCCACUGGCUACAGGUUGAACAACUGGACAAAGCAGGGUGAUACGCCAGAGGUCCCCAGCAGGGCUACGUUCUAGAAGCCAUAGUCAGAACACCCCUCACUUCACUGGUCACCUCUCCUUCCCUGUCUCACUCCUUACCCCCACCCACUCUGAAUCCUAGGCUCACCUCCCAGGUAAACUUCUGGACUAGAACCUUUGUCUUACUGCUGCUUCCGGAAGGAUCUACACUUGUGCACACACCUGCGAAUAGGCUUGUUUUGUAACCUGUUUGUCUUAGUCACUGUUCUAUUGCUGCAAAGAGAUACUAUGACUAACUCAACUCUAUCUUUUGUUUUAUUGAGAUAGGAUUUCUCUGUGUAGCCCUGGCUGUCCUAGAACUCUUUCCGUAGACCAGGCUGACCUUGAACUCAGAUGUUCACCUGACUCUGCCUCCCAAACACUGGGAUUAAAGACCUGUGCCACCAUGGCCCAACUAAUGUCGUAGAUAGAUGUUCUUUUUUGUUGUUGUUUUGUUUUCAACUCAACUAUUAUAAAGGAAAACAUUUAAUUGGGAGCUCAUUUGCAGUUUCAAAGGCUUAAUCCAUUAUCAUCCUGACAGGGAGCAUGGCAGCAGGUGGGAAGACAGGCACUGGAGGACUAGUCAAGAGGAGGUAUCCUGAUCCACAGGCAUUGGAGGACUAGUCAAGAGGAGGUGUCCUGAUCCACAGGCACUGGAGGACUGGCAGGAG